UAUUUAUCCCUCAGUGAAUGUUGUUUCAAUGGAGAAACUAGUCAUUACCAAUUGUUAUUCAUGAAAACGUGCUUUCUGCACAUUAACCAGUGCCUUUCCUACAUUACAGCAGCCAAAAAAUAGUAUUUGGAUGAAAAAGGCCCUUUGGGAAAUCAUUCCAAAUGUUCAAGGAGUUGAAUUAGAGCAAAGCUUCGUUGAGUUUCAUUUUGAACUGAAGUAUCUGAAGGGUGAUGUCCUGGCUGCUCAGUUGACAAGUUAAAAUGUUAAAUUGUUGAAGGAAGACCAAGUAGACAGUGAAGAGGCAAAUGAAUAUUUGACAUAUAUAAUGAGGCUGAAGUCAGCAGUUGAUAUUUUUUGGUCUAGUAUUUAAGUGUGAUCGUACUCUUUCUCUUUUCAUGUUGAAUUUGGCUUUUACUUUUAUGGUGUUUUCAUUUGUCUUUUAGGUUUGACGAUACUUCACCUUUCUCAUUCCUCAGACUCCAACCCACUUUGAUUCUGAAAGAUUUGACUGUUAUUUCCGGUCAGUCAGCUUGCCGAAGCAGUCAGAUUUCCGUCAUACUACUCUGAAUAAAAAUGGCAUCAGGAGAUGAGCUUCCAUCACAUCUCACUGUCGAUACCUCCAACGUUCAAAUUCUUAACUCUGAGACCUCAAAAAGACUCGUCGAAAAUUUUGUAAUCGCUCUCAUGAACAAGGAGCGUUUCUACAUCCGCACAUUCUUUUCGACAUACAAAGCAUAUACCACUGCUGAAAGUGUGUUGUACAUCCUCCU